rnacentral:rRNA from 1 species
AUUGAACGCUGGCGGCAUGCCUUACACAUGCAAGUCGAACGGCAGCACGGGGGCAACCCUGGUGGCGAGUGGCGAACGGGUGAGUAAUACAUCGGAACGUGCCCUGAAGUGGGGGAUAACGUAGCGAAAGUUACGCUAAUACCGCAUAUUCUGUGAGCAGGAAAGCAGGGGAUCGCAAGACCUUGCGCUUUAGGAGCGGCCGAUGUCGGAUUAGCUAGUUGGUGGGGUAAAAGCUCACCAAGGCGACGAUCCGUAGCGGGUCUGAGAGGAUGAUCCGCCACACUGGGACUGAGACACGGCCCAGACUCCUACGGGAGGCAGCAGUGGGGAAUUUUGGACAAUGGGCGCAAGCCUGAUCCAGCCAUGCCGCGUGUGUGAAGAAGGCCUUCGGGUUGUAAAGCACUUUCAGUAGGGAGGAAGCGUUGUGUGUUAAUAGUACACAGCGUUGACGUUACCUACAGAAGAAGCACCGGCUAACUCUGUGCCAGCAGCCGCGGUAA